GAGUUUGAUCCUGGCUCAGGUUGAACGCUGGCGGCAUGCCUUCCACAUGCAAGUCGAACGGCAGCACGGGAGCUUGCUCCUGGUGGCGAGUGGCGAACGGGUGAGUAAUGCAUCGGAACGUAUCCUGGAGUGGGGGAUAACGUAGCGAAAGUUACGCUAAUACCGCAUAUUCUGUGAGCAGGAAAGCGGGGGACCUUCGGGCCUCGCGCUCUUGGAGCGGCCGAUGUCGGAUUAGCUAGUUGGUGAGGUAAAGGCUCACCAAGGCGACGAUCCGUAGCAGGUCUGAGAGGAUGAUCUGCCACACUGGAACUGAGACACGGUCCAGACUCCUGCGGGAGGCAGCAGUGGGGAAUUUUGGACAAUGGGGGCAACCCUGAUCCAGCCAUGCCGCGUGAGUGAAGAAGGCCUCGGUUGUAAG
rnacentral:rRNA from 1 species